rnacentral:lncRNA from 1 species
AUCAAUUGAAAUUAAUUAAUUAAUUAAACUACAAAAAUAAAACAAUAGUAAUUAAUAAAGCAAAGUAAAAUUGGGGUGCACUCAUAGGUUGGAAAAACACCCAAAGCCCAAUUGUCUAAAUCCAAAUCUAUGAUCCUCAUUUUUAUUAAAUAAAAAAAAGAAGAAAAUAAACAUAAAAAUAAAUGUCGCAACGGUGACCUACUCUUGUUCAUUGGAUUUAAAUUUCAAAUUCUAACAGCCAUCUAUCCCCCAUUUAACAUGUGGCAUAUAUUUAUUAAAAACAAAAUGAAGUAAAACCUAAUUAAUGACCCAGCAACAGAAGAACGAGACUUCUUCUUUCUCACUUUUCCGGUUCCUCUUUUUUUCAUAAACUCCUUAUGAACAACAAGCCAUGAAAACAUAGAUUGGAUCUAAACAUUAUCGACUCGAAUCAUCACAUCCAAUUAUUUCCAAUGCUUCACAAUAUUACAACACUUAAUAUUCGAAGCAAAAACACAAAAUCACCGAUUUGCAACAAUAAGUCAUAAGUAUAAAUCAAAAUGCCAUCAACAUGAAAGUUCCAACAUAAAGAGUAUCCCAGGAAGACUAUCCAAGAAAGCCUAAAUGAAAUGCUCCAACAUAAAAGUACAAGUUAAACAUUUCGCCAAUUAACCCAACUACUACAUGGUCACAUUAAUCUCAUAACCACAAAACAAAAUAUGCAGAAAGACAAACACCAUAAAAACUUGAAUUCAAAAUUUACCAUAUGUUGUGAUUCUUCCACUUUGCUUCCUAACUUGAUAUAUUCAGCCAAUGUCAACAAAUGACCGAAACGCAACCUCCGUGUGGUAACUCAUCGAUUUGUCACAACUGUUGGACUUGUGGUAGGUUUGAAGAUUGUUGUUGGAGUGGGUUCAAGCGGCAACGACAUGGUGGCAUCGAUGAGUGGAACGAACUGAGGGAGGCGGAAGGGUGAAAGGUGGUUGAAGGAGAACGAAAGCAGCAGCGUUGCCUUUGCUGGCGUCGACUCGCGCGGCAGUGAAAAAGAUGUUAUCGGUGGUGUCGAAGAGGUGUUAGAUCGGGGCGGCGGUUCUUUUUCGACGGUGUUUGGUGGACACGGGAGUAGUUACAGGCGAUGCGAUUUGGGGAUGUCGCGGCGUUAAAUCAUGGCGACGAAAUAGAGGAGCUGGGUUGUUGACGAAUGGUUGUUAGCGGUGGGAGAACAAGGGAUGCAUGGAGAAGAUGAAGGUUUGGGAUAGUUUAUGGGUGAGGACUAUGAUGGAUGUGGGCGAAACGGAGGAGCGUUAGCGGUGGCCUCGAAGAAGUUCGCAGUGACGUAGAGGUGAAGGAAGCGUGAAGAGGGAAAUGUUUUAUGGUGUGCCGAAGAAGAGGAUCCUUUUUUUUAUUUUUUGUUUUCUUUUUCAUUUUGAAUGAGCCACGUUGAGUGUCCGUGAAAGCUAGCUGACCGUGAGAGAGAUUCCUUCUCCUCUUUUAUUUUCUUUUUCUUUUGUUUUUAGUGAGCAGAAUCCGCCAGUAGUUGGAGAGUAGGUGGGUUCUUCUUGUGAUCAUUUUCUUUUCCAAUUAUCUUUUUUUCUUUCUAUCUCUGCUCCCAGAGGUUGUUGGAAUGAGUCCCAUGAAAAAGAGUCUCCUCCCACUUUUAUUUUUUUUGGUUUUCUUAUCCGCCAGCUGUCCUUUUGUUGGCUAGUGAAAGAGUCGUUGGAAAAGAAAUGGGGGCUCUAUGGAGGAGGCGUUUGGCAGCCUCCUUGAGGGAAAAGACAAUUUUUUUGGAUUUUAUUUAAUUAAUUUAUUUAUUUUAAAUAACCACUUUAUGAUUGGAUAAAGGGGAAAAGUGUGGAUAACUAGUAAAGACCAUUGAUUAAUUUGAAUAAGACAAUCUAGGUUAAUUCAAGGAAACACACCAAGAAGCACAUGUUAUUUAAAUAAAUUAAAAUGUCUAUAAUGCCCUUUUGGAUGAUUCAAUCGAUUUAAAACAAUUUAAAUUAAUUGAAUCAAACAAAAAUUCCAACUUUUAAAAUAAGUAUGAUAAAAAUAAAAUAAGGACAUCGAAAAUUCUAUUUAUUUUGUUUGGAUAUUUUGGAGAAAGAACAAAAUUAAAAUGACUAAAAAUGAAUAAAUGUCGGGCGAAAAUUUGCUCGAAAAAUUAAAUCGGAUGCACUAAAAUGAUGAACACGAAAUAAACUAACUGAAAAAAUACAUCGUUUCUUUUAAUUUUGAAAUAAAUUUUCACUGGUUAAAAGGCUUAGACGGUUCAAAAUGCGACUCAAAAAGUCGUCGAAAAAUAUAGCGAGCACACCAGGUUAAACUACGUGAACCGUAGAUUAAUAACACUGACGUCUGCAAGUCUGAUUCCGAAACUUUUUACCCGCUGAUUUUGCACGUAUUAGAGGAAUGAUUUAACCAAAUUAUUUGUAUAUUCAAGAAUUUAUUCCAACUGAUAUUUCAGGUAAAAUGCAUAUUAUGAUGUACAAAUGAUGCAAACUGAAAUUAAAAUCGAAUUUAUGAAAGUUUUAAAAUGCCCAGACAAAAUUGGGGUAUGACAGUUGCCCCUAUUUAAUUACCUUGAACCAGAAGGUAAGAAUGACAACAGUUUUCGUACAUUCAUGGUGGAAGAUAAUUAAAUACGAAAAGACCCGAAUUUUGUCCUUUGAAAUGCAAGGAAGAAAUGCAGAAAGAAGAUGCAGUGAGAAAUACAGUAAGAAGAAUUAUUAGAAGCUAAAUGAAAUAGUCAAGACUCUAUGGAAUCAUCAGAACAUAAUCUUGAAUUCUAGGAUCGAGAUAUUCCAAUAAUGGAAGGAUACCUCAACUGAAUCUAAGACUUUUUGAAAAUCAGCAAAACAGUGUCUUGAACUGAACACACGAUAUUCUUUGGGGAUCAACGGAGCAGUACCUUACAUGAUAUAAUCAAGAUGUAUCGACAAGGGAAUGAUACCUCAACCGUAUCUAAGAUUCUCCAAGGAUACUUAGAGCAGUAUCUAUAAAAACAAAUGAGAUUCUUCAUAUCAAUGAAGUAGUAUCUACAAUAAAUAAAUGAGAUUCGUCAAAUAAAUGAGGCAGUAUCCCAAAAACAAAUGAGACUCUUCAAAUCAAUGAAGCAAUAUCUCAAACAGAUACAUGAGAUUCUUCGAAUAAAUGAAGUAGUAUCUCAAAUAUUCAUCUGUUGGGGGAAAUAUUUUAGAAAAGACUCCUUUUGGAGGAGCUUUACUAUAAAUGCUCUGCGGGCUUUUUCUUUGAUGAUUUUUUUGAAGAUGUGACUGCCAAGUCCAUGGUCAUUGAAGCACAACUGACAUCAAUUUUGAGGUUUGCUUGGUUAUUUCACCACUCCAGGAUGUUGGCCAAGAAUAACAUGCGGUUGAUCUCCAGAUGGGAUGUAUUCCCUUGAAAUUCAAAUAUGGAGUCAGAUUAACUUAGCACUACCCUGCCCCAGGUUAAAUGUAAGGGUUUUUUUAGAUCCGAAAGAAACUCUUACUUCUAGGCUCGAAGUGGUUAAUUAGGGAUUAACUCCUUAUCUCUCCAGUGUUUAGGGAUUUGAAACAAUGUGUCGCGGUAAAUUCAUGAUCAUCAAGUCAAUAGUCCACACAAAAGUCAUUUAGGGGUUUUGUUCUUAUUAUGUACAUUAAUGGUCAAAAACCACACAAACUAACGAAAUAUACACAACCAAGAUAUAUCACACAAUAUGGUCCAAGUGGACAAAGUGAAAAUUGCAUUAACAUAAAUAAUUAGAAUGACAUGAAUAAUGGCAAAUGAAUAGAACUUAAAAAUUAAAGUGCACUAAAAUAAAGGACUUGAAAUUAAAUGUUAGUUGUUAAUGAGUUAGAAGUUAGUAUUAUUUUGCUUUAGAUUUAUAAUAGGGCAAAUGAGAUGAAUGCAUAAAGAAUGGGAAUGAGAUGAAGAGGGAGAGAAAUGGAUCAAAACUCAAAUUGGUCAAAGGAGGACUUUUACCAAAUUAAUAUCACCCAUUCAUUUUGGGAGAUGGAAUGUACAUUCCAUCAAUCCCCUAAAUCCCAUGAUAUUAACUUGACAAAGUCAAAUCAACCUUGACCAAGGCCCAACAACAAGAGCCAAACUUAUACAAGUCAUCAUAAUACGUCAACACAAUUAAUUGGCAUUUAUUCAAAUUAAAAAUACUAAAAUAAUACAUUUAAAUUAGAUAUGGUUUGUCAAAUUCCUAAAACCUCAUCAAAACACCAAAGAAAUGUCCAUGAGAUUUAUCAUAGGUCAAACAAGGUCAAAGGACCUUGGAGAAAAAAAUUUAGAAUUUGUAAAGACUUUAAAGUAUUUUUAAACAAUUAAAAAUAAUCACAAAAUCAAUUAAAUCAUGAAAAAUAUUAACAUUGAUCCAAAAAAUAAUUUUAAUAUAAAAUAUGAAACAGGAAAUUUUUUGAAUUUUUUUGGUGAAACUCUCAUAUUUUUUGGAUCAAUAUUAAAAUUAAUAUGAAUUAAUGAAAAUAAAAAGAAUAAAAGAAAAAUAAGAAAAUAUCAAAAAAUGUGGACCACUUGAUCUCCCUCUUUAAUUGAGGUGGCAGAUCAAGUGGUCAUCAACGUGCUUUCCACCAUGGACUUAAGUCAAUGCGCCAUAGGGAUGGUAAUCAAAACCAACGCGUGAGAUUAAAACAUUUUGAAUUCA